UCCCAUAAGUCAAAACUGUGCCUCAUUUCAGAUAAUUUGAAGAACAUUUUAUUUAUUUGUAAGAAGGUAUAAAAAACAAACAAACAAAUAAAGGGGAAGACUUCUUAGCAGGUCGAUAUUUGAAAACAUAACAACCCUAUUUGCUCCUUCUCAUAUUCCUAAUGUGCACAUUUCACAAAAACUGUCAGAUUGUGUGCUAAAUUGAUGAAUACAUAUUUAACAAUCCACAAUGUGUCUGUAUCUUCUUUGUACUUGCCUAGGUCGCUUAACUAGUGAAUUCCUGAUUCUUUCAUCCUUACAGAAAACCAUGGAUUCUUGCUCACUACCAACAUUGUGCGAAUGGUGAUACAAAGUAAGGAGACAAUAGGCUCAUCCGCUCUGUGAAUAGAAGAAGUACCAUGUGUCCUGGGAGUCCAAACAAAGCUAACCAAUGCAGCUGGAAGGAGGAGGAUGAUUUAAGAGGAAGACUUGUUUGAUGGGGCUCAGAAUGGUGAAUAGUUGCCAGUUUGCUCAAGAACAACAAAAACCUUGUAGAUGGUGCUGAUGGUUUAAGACAAUCAAGCUGUUUGAAGCUGCCAGUAUUGAGCUCCCCUACUGCCCCUUUGAAAAGAAGAUGCUCCUUUCUGCCAGUUUUGACGCAACUCUACUGGCUACUGUGGCUUGAAAGGAAUAGUCAUGGACAUCUGUGUCUCCUCAGAUGGUAAUGACCUUAGGACACGUGUGGUCUUUGGCUACACAUGCAAGUUUCCUGUUAACGUCAAUGGGAGCCAUGCAUGCAUACGUCUAACGGCACCAUUUGACCUCCUAUAUUAGCCACAGGGAUUUCAAGCCACUUUGCAAACUGCUUGGGCGAACUACUACAUUAAGUAGCUUUUGGCCUCAGGGAUCAGCAGGACCUAGGCAGCCCUAUGAUUGAUGCACCUGAGAGAUUUCUGAUAUACAGAAGGGCCUAAGAGAAUACUAGGAAGAAGGAAACAACAAUUAAGUUAAUUAAUUAACUUAAUCUAAUUACGUUAGCAAAGUGCCUUGGAGAAAAGUUCCUUACUUAAAUGGUGCCAU